rnacentral:misc_RNA from 1 species
GGUUGCAUUCCGGCGGUGGGGGAUUGUGAUGGAAUUUGUUUAAUUGCUGUUGUGUUGUUGUUGUUGUUUUGGAACUGGAAGGGAAUUAGGGCUUUUGGAAGUUUGUGUCAUUUUACUGAUUGGGGGAACCGGCGUUUGAUUGUUAGAUUUGAAUUGGGUUUACAGUGUCCGGGAGUGAAUUAGGGUUUCGGAGGUUAAGGGAUUGAAAAAG